CAUAUGUGUUAUUUCAUAGUUUUGAUGUCUUCACUAUUAUUCUGCAAUGUAGAAAAUAGUACAAAUAAAGACAAACCCUGGAAUGAAUAGGUGUGUCCAAAAUUUUGACUGGUACUGUAUAUAUUACACAUAUAUAUGGAUUUCCUGCACUUACAUUGUGAUUUCUUUUCAUGUAAAUACGGAAAACGAACUAAAAUGUUGUGUGAUAAAGACUACAAAAGUGAGACAAGAAGAACCAUGACCUAGGAGAAACUGAAAUGAACUUUCAGUGUUUGUUCAAAAAGGUGUCCACUGCUACUCCACUGACUGACACAGAGCUAUACUCUACCAGCGGAGGUGCUGUGAGCGGCUGGAGGUCGUCAUGGCAACCCAGAGACAUGUACCCAGUGACAGUCUGGCUAGAACAUUCAGGUCCUGUGCCAGAAACCCUAGUGAGGUCAUCUCCACUAGACUGAGAGACAUGCGCC